UCGAGGUAUGUACUGGCAGUGUGUUAUUACCACAAAGGAAGUUGUGGUAUAUGACGAGAUACCGCGGUAUAUCAGCUGUAUAUGUACAUUUUCCGGUGUGCCGGAAAAUCGGAAAUGAAAAUCGGCGAGACCGCCUCCAGGGUAUUGUAGUUUCGACCGGAAACCGUCUCUGUAGACUGGUGCGAUAAAAUUUUCAUCAUGACGUUGAUGGAAGUGCUAAUAAAUUAGUUAGGGUCGAAAAUGUUAAAAAUACUUCCCCUUUCAUUGCCUCCCCUCCACGAAAAAAAUAACCCGAGAAAACAGGAUUCGACAGAUCCUGCUCGAGUCCGCUCGAUCCUAGAGGAAAAGA